rnacentral:misc_RNA from 1 species
GAGAAGAACGCAGCGAAAUGCGAUAAGUAAUGUGAAUUGCAGAAUUCAGUGAAUCAUCGAAUCUUUGAACGCAUCUUGCGCUCCUUGGUAUUCUGAGGAGCAUGCCUGUUUGAGUGUCAUUAAAUUCUCAACUACACUGACUUUGAAUUGGUGUGGCUUGGAUUUGGGGGGAAAAUUGUUGUGGGCUUUUUGUAUAGUCUGCUCCCCUGAAAUUGAUUAGCGGUACCUUUGUGGAACUGUCUACAGGUGUGAUAAUUAUCUACAUCUUAGACAUCUGCUGGAAUGCUGCUUUCUAAACCUUACUUGUAUUGACAAUCUUGACCUCAAAUCAGGUAGGACUACCCGCUGAACUUAAGCAUAUCAAUAAGCGGAGGA